CUGCCGGCGACCGGCGCACGGGUGAGUAACACGUAUGGAACCUGCCCGCAGCAGGGGGAUAAGCGGAAGAAAUUCCGUCUAAUACCGCGUAACAACGUUGGGAGGCAUCUCCCGAUGUUUAAAGAUUUAUCGGCUGCGGAUGGCCAUGCGGCGCAUUAGCUAGUCGGGCGGGGUAACGGCCCACCGAGGCGACGAUGCGUAGGGGUUCUGAGAGGAAGGUCCCCCACACUGGUACUGAGACACGGACCAGACUCCUACGGAAGGCAGCAG
rnacentral:rRNA from 1 species